GACGAACGCUGGCGGCGUGCCUAAUACAUGCAAGUAGAACGCUGAAGGAGGAGCUUGCUUCUCUGGAUGAGUUGCGAACGGGUGAGUAACGCGUAGGUAACCUGCCUGGUAGCGGGGGAUAACUAUUGGAAACGAUAGCUAAUACCGCAUAAGAGUAGAUGUUGCAUGACAUUUGCUUAAAAGGUGCAAUUGCAUCACUACCAGUUGGACCUGCGUUGUAUUAGCUAGUUGGUGAGGUAACGGCUCACCAAGGCAACGAUACAUAGCCGAACUGAGAGGGGGAUCGGCCACACUGGGACUGAGACACGGCCCAGACUGCUACGGGAGGCAGCAGUAGGGAAUCUUCGGCAAUGGACGGAAGUCUGACCGAGCAACGCCGCGUGAGUGAAGAAGGUUGUCGGAUCGUGAAGCUCUGUUGUAAGAGAAGAACGAGUGUGAGAGUGGAAAGUUCACACUGUGACGGUAUCUUACCAGAAAGGGACGGCUAACUACGUG
rnacentral:rRNA from 1 species